rnacentral:lncRNA from 1 species
GAUAACGAGCAAAGAGGGGCAGCUGUAAUACCAAUUAUUGCCUGGUAAAAAAAUGAACCGAAACAGAAAGUAAAAAACCCAAAUAAAGAGUCCAUUUACAUGGCCCAACAUCUUCAUCAAUUUCAAACCCAAUAACAGCCCCAAAGCCCAAGUUUGCAGCCCUUAACGCCAAAAAGCAGAAACCCUAAGCUAGCUGCAGCAGCCACCAGCAAGAUCCCGAUCGCCGUAGGACUCGGAGAUCCUCCUUCACGUUUGCUCCACGAUUUCCUGCAAAAAAAUAGACUCAAAGAGCCCGAUUGAGAUAAAACAGCAACAAUAAUUAGUGAAAUUUGAUUUUAUUUUUUCUUUUUUCGAUUUUUCGGGCUAUAAAAGCCUUUGGGAAAUCUGUAAG